rnacentral:rRNA from 1 species
AAAGGAAUUGACGGGGGCCCGCACAAGCGGUGGAGCAUGUGGUUUAAUUCGACGCAACGCGAAAAACCUUACCUGGGUUUGACAUGCCGAGAAUCCUGCUGAAAGGUGGGAGUGCCCCGUAAGGGGAACUCGGACACAGGUGCUGCAUGGCUGUCGUCAGCUCGUGCCGUGAGGUGUUGGGUUAAGUCCCGCAACGAGCGCAACCCUCAUCCUUAGUUGCCAUCAUUAAGUUGGGCACCCUAAGGAAACUGCCGCAGUUAAUGCGGAGGAAGGUGGGGAUGACGUCAAGUCCUCAUGGCCCUUAUGUCCAGGGCUACACACGUGCUACAAUGGACGGCACAAAGGGUCGCGAACCCGUGAGGGGGAGCUAAUCCCAGAAAUCCGUUCUCAGUUCGGAUUGGAGUCUGCAACCCGACUCCAUGAAGCUGGAAUCGCUAGUAAUCGCGGAUCAGCACGCCGCGGUGAAUACGUUCCCGGGCCUUGUACACACCGCCCGU